UGAGCAGAAUGUCGACUUGGAGGUUGUGCCCUUGAGGCGUGGCUUCCGGAGCUAACGCGUUAAGUCGACCGCCUGGGGAGUACGGCCGCAAGGUUAAAACUCAAAUGAAUUGACGGGGGCCCGCACAAGCGGUGGAGCAUGUGGUUUAAUUCGAUGCAACGCGAAGAACCUUACCUGGUCUUGACAUCCACGGAAGUUUUCAGAGAUGAGAAUGUGCCUUCGGGAACCGUGAGACAGGUGCUGCAUGGCUGUCGUCAGCUCGUGUUGUGAAAUGUUGGGUUAAGUCCCGCAACGAGCGCAACCCUUAUCCUUUGUUGCCAGCGGUCCGGCCGGGAACUCAAAGGAGACUGCCAGUGAUAAACUGGAGGAAGGUGGGGAUGACGUCAAGUCAUCAUGGCCCUUACGACCAGGGCUACACACGUGCUACAAUGGCGCAUACAAAGAGAAGCGACCUCGCGAGAGCAAGCGGACCUCAUAAAGUGCGUCGUAGUCCGGAUUGGAGUCUGCAACUCGACUCCAUGAAGUCGGAAUCGCUAGUAAUCGUGGAUCAGAAUGCCACGGUGAAUACGUUCCCGGGCCUUGUACACACCGCCCGUCACACCAUGGGAGUGGGUUGCAAAAGAAGUAGGUAGCUUAACCUUCGGGAGGGCGCUUACCACUUUGUGAUUCAUGACUGGGGUGAAGUCGUAAGGUUCCGAAAAGUGCCCCCCCUGGCUUUUUCGACGGGGAAGACGGUGUGUGAUGCACCGAGGGGUAGCUAUUCUUCCCCGCGUGUAUCUCCGCCAAAUACUCGUACAUUAUUCCGGCGUACCGUCGGUACGUCAGCCCCUCCUGCAAGAUGCUUACUGUGCUAGUCUACGAGGCAUGCUGCCGGUGGUAGCUCGCAGGGAUCAUCUACGUGUAUUGACACCCGCUAGGGGUGGCUAUGCGCUAUUAUUCCGUAUACGUUAGACUCUCUAUUAUUACCGGCUCGCGCAGUAUACACGGGUCUCUCCGUGAACCUAAGAAAGGUUAUUUUCCUCUUCCGGUGAGUUACAAGAGCUUUCAACCAGUGUGCACUG
rnacentral:rRNA from 1 species